rnacentral:tRNA from 1 species
GGAUUUAGCUCAGUGGUAGAGCGCUUGCCUAGCAAGCGCAAGGCCCUGGGUUCGAUCCCCAGCUCCA